rnacentral:rRNA from 1 species
UAACAAUCAGACUGCCAAGGGAUACUGUCGAACUUGAGACCGGGAGAGGUAAGAGGUACUUCAGGGGUAGGA